AGAUCACUCCGCUCCUCUCUGUCAGCACUAGAGGGGAGAGUAGAGGCCCUGGAAACUGCAGGCACACCAGCCCCAAGCAAUACACCGCAAACCCCUGACACACAGUCACGACAAAUCACUGACCUGCGGCUCCAUGUUGAAGACCUGGAUAACAGGAGCCGCAGGCACAACAUCAGGGUGAGGGGGCUGCAGGAAUCACAGGGCCCUGAAGACCUAAAGGACGCACUAAUCCCCAUCUUCAACUACAUCCUGAACAGGCCCCCUGGGACAAGGCUAUAUGUAGACAGAGCACACCAUGCCCUCAGCCCCAAACCACCACCAUCAGAACCCCGAGGGACGUCAUAUG